rnacentral:rRNA from 1 species
UACGGAGGGUGCAAGCGUUGUCCGGAUUUAUUGGGUUUAAAGGGUGCGUAGGCGGUUAACUAAGUCAGUGGUGAAAGGCAGCAGCUUAACUGUUAGCACUGCCAUUGAUACUGGUUGACUUGAGUACAGACGAGGUAGGCGGAAUUUAUGGUGUAGCGGUGAAAUGCAUAGAUACCAUAAAGAACACCGAUUGCGAAGGCAGCUUGCUAGACUGUAACUGACGCUGAGGCACGAAAGCGUGGGGAUCGAACAGG